GAUGAACGCUGGCGGCGUGCUUAACACAUGCAAGUCGAGUGAGAAGUUUUGAAAAGAUUCUUCGGAUGAAAUUUAAAAUGGAAAGCGGCGGACGGGUGAGUAACGCGUAGGCAACCUGCCCCAUACAAAGGGAUAGCAUUUGGAAACGAAUAUUAAUACCUUAUGAAACUUAACUAGUGCAUGCUAGGUAGGUCAAAGAUUUAUCGGUAUGGGAUGGGCCUGCGUCUGAUUAGCUAGUUGGUGAGGUAACGGCUCACCAAGGCGACGAUCAGUAGCCGACCUGAGAGGGUGAACGGCCACAUUGGAACUGAGACACGGUCCAAACUCCUACGGGAGGCAGCAGUGGGGAAUAUUGCACAAUGGGGGAAACCCUGAUGCAGCAACGCCGCGUGAACGAUGAAGGCCUUUGGGUCGUAAAGUUCUGUUCUAGGUGAUGAAAACUGACAGUAACCUAGGAGAAAGCCCCGGCUAACUCCGUG
rnacentral:rRNA from 1 species